UACGUAGGCAGCAAACGUUGUUCGGAAUUACUGGGCGUAAAGAGUGUGUAGGCGGCUUUGUAAGUUCUGUGUGAAAUCUCCCGGCUCAACUGGGAGGGUGCGCCGAAUACUGCAAGGCUUGAGUACUGGAGAGGAUAGCGGAAUUCCUGGUGUAGCGGUGAAAUGCGUAGAUAUCAGGAGGAACACCGGCGGUGUAGACGGCUAUCUGGACAGUAACUGACGCUGAGACACGAAAGCGUGGGGAGCAAACAGG
rnacentral:rRNA from 1 species